CAGAGUAACAACAGGCCCUCGAGCUGAUUAACUGCCAAAGAAACGACCGUUUUAACGUGAAUUACAACAUGUCCUUGCAUUAAUGUCUGUAAACAUUGACAACCAAAGUACCAGUAGACGAGAAUAAGCACUAUAACAUGUUAUUUUCGGAUAAUUUGGCAUCAAAGACGUAGUUUUUGAGUUCAUCCGGGUACUUUGUCGAGCGGGAAACCAGGGGAAUCGAAAUGGCGGAGCCGUGGAUUCUGGUGAAGUGGAGAGAGAAAUAAACUGAAGUUCAACAGCAGCAGCAUUUAGUCAAGAUUAUCGGGAUUAAAAGAAGAAAGUGGUGGAUUUUCUACAAUUAAUUGGACUGUACCAUUCUGGAGAAGGAGAAGAAGUACAACUGAACUGGAUGGAGGACCCUCCAUGUUUAAAGUGCAGUAGACGACCAAAGUGAAUCCCAGAAAUCAGUGUCAUGAAGUGGACGUGUGUGAGGAACAAGGACUCUUCAGUGUGAAAUCAUACUCUAUUGUGCGGUGGAGUCGGAGAGCAAACACACGUGGAUAAUUACACUCGGCACAAGAAUCACUGUUGCACCUCGGCUGUGGUGACCUGCUGCUGCUGCUGAUGCUGCUGCUGCUGCUGCUGAUGCUGCUGCUGAUGCUGAUGCUGCCGCCGCCGCUGCUGCUGAACUCAGGUGGAGGACAGUGUGCAGUCUCUCGGUGUGAUGGUGUCUGGACUCCUCCUCGUACGCCAGGUCUCUGUCGCCCUGCGGCAGCGUGAGGAAGCGGCGGAUGGUGCACAGGUUCUCCCACAGCGUGCGGUUCUCCGGGCUCGGGUUCUCCUUCCACCGCAGCAGCUCGCAGAGCCAACCCUGGAUCAGGAGGUCAGAGACGGUCAUGUUAGAAACUCAUCCAUUCAUCUGUUAGUGAGCUGCAGCAGAUGGAUGCAGUGAGCCGUGACCCUGCACCUCCACCACCAACCCCCAGAACCUCCACCCUGAGAGACCCCACUCUGCAGCAACACUGCACGCACACUCUGUUUACAUCAUCAACACACUGACACCUGGAAACUCUCUCUCUCAAACACACACACACACACGCGCGGUCUGUCCUGCAUCUUUUCCUCCAUGUGAUGGAGACAUUCACGUUCCUUCGUCUUGAAAAAUCACAUCAUAUCAUCUUUUUUGUGCGAUAUCGGCUUUAAACUGUAUCAUCAGACAUCGGCAGAAACACCGAUAUCUCCUGAUACGACUCUGCUGAAAACGCCCCUGCUCUCUACAGCUGUUAUUUUUUAUGUUUGUUUAUUUUGCACUACAGAGGAAAUGUGUAUCUACGUAAACAUCUGUUGUGACAUGCGUGUGGAGAAUAUUAGAUUAUGUUGAUUCUACUACAGAAGAGAAUACGUGACCGUUUCCAAUUUUUAUAUCUGUUACUUCCAGUGAAGCUAACAGCUAAGCUGUUCUCUUUUUUUACCUCCAGUGAAGCUAACAGCUAAGCUGUUCUCUUUUUUACUUCCAGUGAAGCUAACAGCUAAGCUGUUCUCUUUUUUACUUCCCGUGAAGCUAACAGCUAAGCUGUUCUCUUUUUUACUUCCAGUGAAGCUAACAGCUAAGCUGUUCUCUAUUUUACUUCCAGUGAAGCUAACAGCUAAGCUGUUCUCUUUUUUACUUCCAGUGAAGCUAAUAGCUAAGCUGUUCUCUUUUUUACUUCCAGUGAAGCUAAUAGCUAAGCUGUUCUCUUUUUUACUUCCAGUGAAGCUAACAGCUAAGCUGUUCUCUUUUUUACCUCCAGUGAAGCUAACAGCUAAGCUGUUCUCUCUGUUACCUCCAGUGAAGCUAACAGCUAAGCUGUUCUAUCUGUUACCUCCAGUUAAGCUAAUAGCUAAGCUGUUCUCUUUUUUACUUCCAGUGAAGCUAACAGCUAAGCUGUUCUCUUUUUUACCUCCAGUGAAGCUAACAGCUAAGCUGUUCUCUCUGUUACCUCCAGUGAAGCUAACAGCUAAGCUGUUCUAUCUGUUACCUCCAGUUAAGCUAACAGCUAAGCUGUUUUUGUGUAAUUUCUUGGACAUUUUGUUCGUGUCUAUCAUCAAACCGUUCUGUGUUUACUGAAGUUUUGGAGUUAAGCAUCCUGAGUUCAGUCCUCGUCCUGUGACCUAAACCCUGAUCGGUGAUGUUUAUCGUCCUCACCUGACUCUUGUUGGCGGCCACCUUUGCAAACAGAGCCUGGGAAACCUUCGCUCUCUUCAUCUCCUGCUGAAUUUCGUCGUAGAUGCCUGACGUGAUGUUGACCAGCGACUCCAGCUUCAGAGGGAGGUCGGGGGCGGGGCCAGGUGGCUUGGGCUAGCACAGACAGCGAGAGAGGGGGAGGGGCAACAGUGGGCGUGAUUUAAAGGAACAGUACAAGACACGUUCACUCAAUUUUAAGGCACAAAUAAAAUUAAGUAAAAAUUAAAUUUGUAAAAUGUAAGGUUCGCUACAAAAAUUCCUGGGUAACAACUAUGCUAACAGAACAAGGUUUUUAAGGUGCUUGAAAGCCUUGAACAUUUUUGUGCUUGAAAUUAAGUUUGAGGUGACUGUUUAGAGCCAAAUACCUUCUUUUAUUGUGAUUAAAAAAUAGUGAAAUCAUUUUAUAAAUCAUAUACAUUUACCACAGAUGGACAUGCUCUGGAGAUUGACCUUGAAAGUGCUUGAAAAGUGCUUGAAUUUGACCGUGGAAAAGGUGUGUGACCCUGAAAGUGGAAUUACCACUGCUGCCAAAAAACUAAGUAGACCUGAAGUUCACCUGUGUCUUUUGUUCCUGUUCAUAAACAUAUUUGUACAUAUAUUUAAACAUUUAAAACCGUAGAAUUAAACAUAAACCAUUUUUUUUAUCAUAGUAUUGAAAGCUUUAUUCUCGUUUUAUUACAGUAUUUGCAAACACAUGUCCGUACUCUCUGCAUGUGUUCCAGUCAAAUCAUUGAGAGACAACGAUCAUUGGAGCCUUUCUGAAACAGCUGAUGAUCAGACCUGGUCGCUCGGGGAAACAGACGUUGCCGUGUGUUCUCUCUCGCUCGCUCGCUCGCUCGCUCGCUGGAGCAUCAGCGGCACAUCUGCGCCGCACGUCUCCACAUGAACUAUGUUUCCAGAUCAAAGUCAUUAAGUCCUGCUCUUUUGUCAUUGUCUGUUGUGUGUGUUUGAGCGCGGCGUGUAUUUGGCCUUGUAUACACAGCGUUUGAAGUUGCCCCGCAGACAUGUACGGACCAGCCCGCUUACAUUCCCUCAGUGUAAACCAUGCUCAGAUAAUUCUCACAGAGACAUAAUAAGAAUAUUCGCCCCGAGCCAUGAAUGGGCAUUUGCCCCUGACAUCAGAGGGGAGAGCGUCUUAUCACUGACAGUGCUAAAUUGUUUUCGGUGCACAUGGAGAAGACAUUUGCAAAUACUGCAUCAUGUCCUUCAUGUUUACAACAUGCUCUCGUGAUUGCUUUGAAGACCCUUUUUUUUUUACCCCCCCGUUAUAAAUGGAAUUUGUUUGAGAUAAAAUAAAAAAAGGGCUUUAAGACAAACUCCAUGUUGUGCUGCACUUUGUGAGGGCGAGUCAGAGAUGGAAGAUAAACUCACCGAGUUGGAGAUCUUAGUCUUGUUCUUCCAGAUGGAGGCCCAGGUAUCAGGGGUUAUCUGCUCGUCCAAGCUCCUCUCCCACACUUUCUAUGCACAUGCACACAGACACACACGUGCGUUACCAUCACACGCUCCGAUCCCCGUGAUUACACGUGCAUUUGUCGCAACAAUUCUUAUUUCUUAAACACCUGAAACACGUCAGUAAACACAGAUUUUUGCCUCUAAACAAUACACUUACCUCAUAAAAUCUGCACCAGCUAAAGUUUCUCCUGUGUCAAGAACAUCUUCGCUGCUUUAUCUCACUGUUUUAUAGCUUUUUCUGACUGAAAAAGUACAUUUUGUAAACCGCUUCCCUCCCUGCACCAAACCCCAUAGAGAAAAUCAGUGAUUUUAGCUCGCGGGAACACAGGAGCUCCUGGUCUACCGCUGCCUCGUGUGGUCACUUUGUGACACUGAUUUAAAUCCAAACAAAGGUUUUCAAACCCCGAAGUCACCAAAAUAACACAUUUGAACGUAUUAAUGAGGCGGCAGUGGUUGAACAACUCCUGUGAGCUGUGAUGUAAAAUCACUGAUUUUCUCUGUAGGGUUUGGUGUGAGACAGUGAGCCGUUACCAAACUUCAGUUUCCUGUUGGAAAAGUCUGUCUGACUGUGAGAUAAAGACGUGAACGUGACCACUUUAAAGUCCCAUUUUAGACGAAUGCCUCAUGGACUAACCUGUGAGAGUCUGGCAGCU